rnacentral:rRNA from 1 species
ACUCAAAUGAAUAGACGGGGGCCCGCACAAGCGGUGGAGCAUGUGGUUUAAUUCGAUGCAACGCGAAGAACCUUACCUACUCUUGACAUCCUGCGAAUCUGACUGAGAGGUUGGAGUGCCGAAAGGAGCGCAGAGACAGGUGCUGCAUGGCUGUCGUCAGCUCGUGUCGUGAGAUGUUGGGUUAAGUCCCGUAACGAGCGCAACCCUUAUCCUUAGUUGCCAGCACGUAAAGGUGGGAACUUUAGGGAGACUGCCGGUGAUAAACCGGAGGAAGGCGGGGAUGAGGUCAAGUCAUCAUGGCCUUUAUGAGUAGGGCCACACACGUGCUACAAUGGUCAGUACAGAGGGAAGCAAACCUGCGAAGGGGAGCAAAACUCAGAAAGCUGAUCGUAGUCCGGAUCGGAGUCUGAAACUCGACUCCGUGAAGUCGGAAUCGCUAGUAAUCGCGGAUCAGAACGCCGCGGUGAAUACGUUCCCGGGCCUUGCACACACCGCCCGU